GACGUAGCAGGUCCCACAUAAAUAUGCUCAAGGAUAAUAACGCCCAAAAGGGCAUGACUAAAUUAUGUUGCAUGAUGUCAUCACGAAAGUUAAAAGGUCACAACUUUCAACUCCAAUGACAACUGAUAGUGGUUGACCGUCACCCAUUUUUGUUUCUCUCUGUUAUAUCUAGUAUAAUAAUAGUCAAAACUUAUACAAGGAAUACACUGUGAUGUCAUCACGAAAGUUAAAAGGUCACAACUUUCAACUCCAAUGACAACUGAUAGUGGUUGACCCUCACCCAUUUUUGUCUCUCUGUUAUAUCUAGUAUAAUAAUAGUCAAAACUUAUACAAGGAAUACACUACUAAUAGGAAGCAACCCGCAAAUAUUUUUGGUCACUCCUGUUCUCGAGACAAUAAGUCCCUCAUUGCGAGUUUAGGUAGAGACCUACAAAUCGGUUUAGAUCGCGCAAAAAAGGGGAAGGGAAAAAAAUAAAAAAUGGUAGAAGUAUAACACGUGGCAAAAGGAUGGUGUUAGACCCGACAAUAGGACCACGUUUAUUACUUAUCCCGAACAAUAAAAAUAUCUGGCCCUUAAAUCAGCAAAUUUUCCCUUCAAAAUACACCAGCAACUUUUCUAUUUAAUCACUGAAAUUAUGCAAAAUAUUUAGUAGGCUGAUCCGUACAAAAUACCAACCUU
rnacentral:lncRNA from 1 species